rnacentral:sRNA from 1 species
AACCAAACCCGAUUGAGUGAAAAUCCUUUUUGCUGCAAUAAUAUUCAGACUUCGUAAGUUUUAAAAACUUACGAAGUCUUUCCCAGUUGCACACACAAAAAGAUUGAAAUGAAAGCGGGGCUAAAU